AAAAGAAACUAACAAGGAUUCCCUCAGUAGCGGCGAGCGAAGCGGGAAAAGCCCGGGAUGAAAAUCUCCUUGGAGAAUUGUAUUCCGAGUGUCCCCAGGGUGGUCAGUGCGGGAAAGUCGUCUGGGAUGACGCGCCACGGAGGGUGAGAGCCCCGUCCAACCCGCACAGGAUCCAUUCGCACAGGGACGCUUCAACCGAGUCGGGUAGUUUGGGAAUGCUGCUCUAACAUGGUGGUAAAUCUCAUCAAAGGCUAAAUAAAAGUGGGAGACCGAUAGCGAACAAGUACCGUGAGGGAAAGAUGGAAAGUACUUUGAAAAGAGAGUGAAAAGCACUUGAAACCGUCACGGGGGAAGCGAAUUGCGUUAGUGAUGUUUUUGCCUGUUCAGCUUUUUUUGCCGAAGAAUUCUUUUUUUUUUCGCAAUGAGUGUAUUCUGGCAAAAACGUGCUUGUGUGGCUGGCGGGAGUGUGAUGAGACGGUGAAUGGCUGUUCUAUUUUCAAUCUUUUCAAAAUUUUUUGGGAAGUUUGGUGGAAUGUUGUUUUACCGACCCUCGGCAACUCUUUUACGCUGGUGAGGGCUCCCUCAUAUUCGAGGUGAGGACAUGAGCAAAAUGAUGCAAUACGACCCGUCUUGAAACACGGACCAAGGAGUCUAGCACGGCUGCGAGUCGAAAGGUGAUUAAAACCUAUAGGGCGCAGUGAAAGCGAAGAAAAAAACAACAAAGCAAAUUGGGGAGGCGUUGCGGUUUUACCAAAAUGUCCUACCUUGAGCAUCUGUGCUGGGACCCGAAAGAUGGUGAACUAUGCCGGAGUAGGGCAAAGCCAGAGGAAACUCUGGUGGAGGCUCGUAGCGAUGCUGACGUGCAAAUCGCUCGUCGAACUUGGGUAUAGGGGCGAAAGACUAAUCGAACCAUCUAGUAGCUGGUUCCCUCCGAAGUUUCUCUCAGGAUAGCGGGCCGACAAAAAAUUCUUUUUGAAUGUUGUUUUGUGUGGUAGAGCGAAUGAUUAGUGCAUUUGGGGGCCGAAGGCCUUCGGGCGAUUCUCAAACUUCAAAUACGCAAGGGGGCCGCUGCUUCACCGUAUGGACAGGGCGAUUGGGGAAAGAAAUUUUUUUUCUUUCUUCCUUUUUUCCUUUCUUUGCGAGUAUGAGCGUGCUCUUCGAAAAACGUCGGCUCCGUGGGCCAUUUUUGGUAAGCAGAACUGGCGAUAAGGGAUGAACCUUAAGCGCGGUUAAGGCGCCGCAUUGCCCGCUUAUAGACCCCACAAAAGGUGUUGAUUCAUUUAGACAGCAGGACGGUGGCCAUGGAAGUCGGAAUCCGCUAAGGAGUGUGUAACAACUCACCUGCCGAAUGAAUUAGCCCUGAAAAUGGAUGGCGCUGAAGCGGGCAGCCGACACCGCGCCGUUCAGGCGAGAUUUUUUUUUAAAUUAACACAUGUCUGAAUGAGUAGGAGGGCGUGGCGGUCCGUGACGCAGGCGUGGGUGCAAACCCCGCUGAAACGGCCGCUAGUGCAGAUCUUGGUGGUAGUAGCAAAUAUUCAAGCGAGAUCCUUGAAGGGCGAAGCGGGGAAGGGUUCCAUGCUAACAUUGAUUGGGCGUGGGUGAGUC
rnacentral:rRNA from 1 species